rnacentral:rRNA from 1 species
GCAAGUCGGACGUCCUGUCUCCUCCAGGAGAGAGGGAGUGGCGGACGGGUGAGUAGCACGUGGGUGACCUACCUUGGGGUGAGGAAUACCGGCGCGAAAGUGCCGACAAGACCGCAUAGGCUUGUGCAAGCAAGCAAAGCUGCUUUCGGGCAGCGCCCUGAGAUGGGCCCGCGGCCGAUUAGCUGGUUGGUGGGGUAAUGGCCUACCAAGGCGACGAUCGGUAGCUGGUCUGAGAGGACGAUCAGCCACACUGGGAUUGAGAACGGCCCAGACUCCUACGGGGGGCAGCAGUGAGGAAUUUUCGGCAAUGGGGGCAACCCUGACCGAGCAACGCCGCGUGCAGGAGGACGGCCUUCGGGUUGUAAACUGCUUUUCGCUGGGACGAGCAAGGACGGUACCAGCGGAAGAAGCCCCGGCUAACUACGUGCCAGCAGCCGCGGUAAUACGUAGGGGGCCAGCGUUGUCCGGAGUUACUGGGCGUAAAGCGCACGCAGGCGGUCGUGUCAGUUCUGGCUGACAGUGCUCGGCUUAACUGAGUAAGGAGCCGGAAAACUACAGGACUGGAGGGCCUCAGAAGGACCAGAAUUCCGGGUGGAACGGUGAAAUGCGUAGAGAACCGGAAUAAUACCUAAAGGGGAAAAACGUGGCCCUGGGAGGUACCUGAAGCUCCGGUGUAAAUAACAAGGGAAUGAACGGAUUUAAAUCCCCGGGUAGUCCCCGCCGCAAACGAGUACCAACAAGACUGGGAAGGAUGGAGCCCUUCCAGGGCGGGGCUUUACCACAUAAGUGGUCCGCUCGGGAAACACGGGCGACAGGCUGAAACCCCAUCAGAUUGCCGGGGGCCCCAUUAGCAUGUGAAUGAUAGGGCUUUUA